AUUGAACGCUGGCGGCAUGCCUUACACAUGCAAGUCGAACGGCAGCAUAGGAGCUUGCUCCUGAUGGCGAGUGGCGAACGGGUGAGUAAUAUAUCGGAACGUGCCCUAGAGUGGGGGAUAACUAGUCGAAAGACUAGCUAAUACCGCAUACGAUCUAAGGAUGAAAGUGGGGGAUCGCAAGACCUCAUGCUCCUGGAGCGGCCGAUAUCUGAUUAGCUAGUUGGUGGGGUAAAAGCCUACCAAGGCGACGAUCAGUAGCUGGUCUGAGAGGACGACCAGCCACACUGGGACUGAGACACGGCCCAGACUCCUACGGGAGGCAGCAGUGGGGAAUUUUGGACAAUGGGGGCAACCCUGAUCCAGCAAUGCCGCGUGAGUGAAGAAGGCCUUCGGGUUGUAAAGCUCUUUUGUCAGGGAAGAAACGGUGGUAGCUAAUAUCUACUACUAAUGACGGUACCUGAAGAAUAAGCACCGGCUAACUACGUGCCAGCAGCCGCCGUAAUAC
rnacentral:rRNA from 1 species